GGGUGGACCCCGCCUCUGGCCCAGUGACCGCCGGAAAGAGGCACCAGAAAGACCUCCCCACUACGACCAUGCAUGGAUAAGCGGAUAAAGUAGAAAUUGCCCGGCAAAUGCAACACUACUCUGUUGUAUUGAUCACAAAAAGAGGAGAGUGAAGUCGAAGAUGAAAACAAGACAUAACGCAUUUCACAGCAGUACCUAGAUGAGGACGCGUCCAGCAUACUUUGCUUUGCAUCCAAAUGGCCUCGCAUGUAAGAAAACAGCUACUCAGAAUGUAGCAGCUGAAGGCUCAGUUUUCUGGAUCAUCAAGGACUUCACCGUGACAGGACAUCCAGAGUAUCAAGCGAGCACCAGGACAGUCCUGAGUGAGCUACAGACGUUGUGUAGCCACUGCGGCAGAGCUUGCUGGAACGCUGGCAGCCGGUGGAUGUGUGUGCAUCAGCGAUUAAAGUGAGGUGAAGACUUUUGUGACAAGCGAGGCUGGAAAGAUGCAACUUCACAACAAGAAAACAGUCUGCAGGAAGUAAAAGGAUGGACAGCAGAAGCCUGCUUCCUCAGACAAACCCUCCGUUUUGAAC